rnacentral:tmRNA from 1 species
AAACUUGCAAUUUCCAGUACAAAAGACUAUAAUUAGUGGGCUGCAUGGCAGUGAUGAUUCUGAAUCCGUUGUGAAAUAGUCAUUAUGGACUGGGGGGCAGUACCCCACAGCUCCACCAUCUGAUAUGAUUAAUGGUCGUAUUUGAUUAUGGGGCUGACAUAGAUUCGACAGAUGAUGAAAGACAAAUUGGGUGAAUCCGACAUGGUGUCGUAAAAAACCAACUAAAAACUGAAUGGCGAUAGAAUCGCUGCGAACGACAAUGUUCGCCUUGCAAUGGCUGCCUAAUGAUGGCUUGAAUAUGGUUGGCAAUGGUUGAUCAUAUUCGUUUUAGCGAUUGCGGGGUUUGCCGGUACCUGGCACCAGAAAUCCGGCACA